AGAUCACGAAUCUCUGUAUCCUCAGGGUGAGAUGGCAUGGAAAGCCCUAUCAGUGGUUGCCACUGGUUCCUCUGAAGUGAAGUUAUGGCUGCGGGAAGGGAAGGAGAAGAGAUAACCGCGGAGUUGUGAAUUGAUGAGACAACAAUUAGCAACCCUUCCAGAGAGCUAUCCAAGCCAACGUACAAACUAACCUAAUGAACAUAUAUUAAUAUAUAUUACAAUACUGAUCAAGUGUGUGUGUGUGUGUGUAUACUCAGCAUGAUAUAUAAUAUUAAACUUGAAUUAGAGAUCUAAAGUUUUACCUAUCAUCGUACCUAUGGAAUUCUCCAAGAUUUCAGUCCAGUUAUUACUUUGUGAGCCACCCAGAGAACAAUUUGUUAUGGAGUGACCAACAAAUUAAGUAGUAUUUAUUUGGUUUGUUUAUUUAUUUGUUUAUUUAAUAUUUAUAACUUCUGACCAGAGCACUAGGACAGGAAACUUCUUACAAUAAAUGAUUUA